ensembl:ribozyme RNase_MRP RNase MRP
GUUCGUGCUGAAGGCCUGUUUCCUAGGCUACACACGGAGGACUAGUUCCUUGUUUGCGCCUAGGGGAAAGUCCCCGGACCUUGGGCAGAGAGUGCCACGUGCCUACCCUGCACGUAGACUUCCCCCGCUUCUCACGACUAAGUCCGCCAAGAAGCGAUCCUACCCUGGGGGUAGGGAAGCCGAGCGGCGUGUUGCGGGUGUGUCAUCCGUCAGCUUCUAACAGUUACGCAGGCAGUGCGCCUCCACGCGCACCAACCUCACGGGGCUCAUUCUCAGCACGGC